rnacentral:rRNA from 1 species
UAGCCAUGGGCAGGUUGAAGGUUGGGUAACACUAACUGGAGGACCGAACCGACUAAUGUUGAAAAAUUAGCGGAUGACCUGUGGCUGGGGGUGAAAGGCCAAUCAAACCGGGAGAUAGCUGGUUCUCCCCGAAAGCUAUUUAGGUAGCGCCUCGUGAAUUCAUCUCCGGGGGUAGAGCACUGUUUCGGCUAGGGGGCCAUCCCGGCUUACCAACCCGAUGCAAACUGCGAAUACCGGAGAAUGUUAUCACGGGAGACACACGGCGGGUGCUAACGUCCGUCGUGAAGAGGGAAACAACCCAGACCGCCAGCUAAGGUCCCAAAGUCAUGGUUAAGUGGGAAACGAUGUGGGAAGGCCCAGACAGCCAGGAUGUUGGCUUAGAAGCAGCCAUCAUUUAAAGAAAGCGUAAUAGCUCACUGGUCGAGUCGGCCUGCGCGGAAGAUGUAACGGGGCUAAACCAUGCACCGAAGCUGCGGCAGCGACACUGUGUGUUGUUGGGUAGGGGAGCGUUCUGUAAGCCUGUGAAGGUGUGUCGUGAGGCAUGCUGGAGGUAUCAGAAGUGCGAAUGCUGACAUAAGUAACGAUAAAGCGGGUGAAAAGCCCGCUCGCCGGAAGACCAAGGGUUCCUGUCCAACGUUAAUCGGGGCAGGGUGAGUCGACCCCUAAGGCGAGGCCGAAAGGCGUAGUCGAUGGGAAACGGGUUAAUAUUCCCGUACUUGGUGUUACUGCGAAGGGGGGACGGAGAAGGCUAUGUUGGCCGGGCGACGGUUGUCCCGGUUUAAGCGUGUAGGUGUGUGUUCCAGGUAAAUCCGGUUCACUUUAACACUGAGGCGUGACGACGAGGCACUACGGUGCUGAAGCAACAAAUGCCCUGCUUCCAGGAAAAGCCUCUAAGCAUCAGGUAACAUCAAAUCGUACCCCAAACCGACACAGGUGGUCAGGUAGAGAAUACCAAGGCGCUUGAGAGAACUCGGGUGAAGGAACUAGGCAAAAUGGUGCCGUAACUUCGGGAGAAGGCACGCUGACACGUAGGUGAAGUGAUUUACUCAUGGAGCUGAAGUCAGUCGAAGAUACCAGCUGGCUGCAACUGUUUAUUAAAAACACAGCACUGUGCAAACACGAAAGUGGACGUAUACGGUGUGACGCCUGCCCGGUGCCGGAAGGUUAAUUGAUGGGGUCAGCGCAAGCGAAGCUCCUGAUCGAAGCCCCGGUAAACGGCGGCCGUAACUAUAACGGUCCUAAGGUAGCGAAAUUCCUUGUCGGGUAAGUUCCGACCUGCACGAAUGGCGUAAUGAUGGCCAGGCUGUCUCCACCCGAGACUCAGUGAAAUUGAACUCGCUGUGAAGAUGCAGUGUACCCGCGGCAAGACGGAAAGACCCCGUGAACCUUUACUAUAGCUUGACACUGAACAUUGAGCCUUGAUGUGUAGGAUAGGUGGGAGGCUUUGAAGUGUGGACGCCAGUCUGCAUGGAGCCGACCUUGAAAUACCACCCUUUAAUGUUUGAUGUUCUAACGUGGACCCGUUACCCGGGUUGCGGACAGUGUCUGGUGGGUAGUUUGACUGGGGCGGUCUCCUCCUAAAGAGUAACGGAGGAGCACGAAGGUUGGCUAAUCCUGGUCGGACAUCAGGAGGUUAGUGCAAUGGCAUAAGCCAGCUUGACUGCGAGCGUGACGGCGCGAGCAGGUGCGAAAGCAGGUCAUAGUGAUCCGGUGGUUCUGAAUGGAAGGGCCAUCGCUCAACGGAUAAAAGGUACUCCGGGGAUAACAGGCUGAUACCGCCCAAGAGUUCAUAUCGACGGCGGUGUUUGGCACCUCGAUGUCGGCUCAUCACAUCCUGGGGCUGAAGUAGGUCCCAAGGGUAUGGCUGUUCGCCAUUUAAAGUGGUACGCGAGCUGGGUUUAGAACGUCGUGAGACAGUUCGGUCCCUAUCUGCCGUGGGCGCUGGAGAACUGAGGGGGGCUGCUCCUAGUACGAGAGGACCGGAGUGGACGCAUCACUGGUGUUCGGGUUGUCAUGCCAAUGGCACUGCCCGGUAGCUAAAUGCGGAAGAGAUAAGUGCUGAAAGCAUCUAAGCACGAAACUUGCCCCGAGAUGAGUUCUCCCUGAGACUUAAAGUCUCCUGAAGGAACGUUGAAGACGACGACGUUGAUAGGCCGGG